rnacentral:rRNA from 1 species
AUUGAACGCUGGCGGCAUGCUUUACACAUGCAAGUCGAACGGCAGCGCGGGGCAACCUGGCGGCGAGUGGCGAACGGGUGAGUAAUAUAUCGGAACGUACCCAGAAGUGGGGGAUAACGUAGCGAAAGUUACGCUAAUACCGCAUACGAUCUACGGAUGAAAGUAGGGGACCGCAAGGCCUUAUGCUUUUGGAGCGGCCGAUAUCUGAUUAGCUAGUUGGUGAGGUAAAGGCUCACCAAGGCGACGAUCAGUAGCUGGUCUGAGAGGACGACCAGCCACACUGGAACUGAGACACGGUCCAGACUCCUACGGGAGGCAGCAGUGGGGAAUUUUGGACAAUGGGCGCAAGCCUGAUCCAGCAAUGCCGCGUGAGUGAAGAAGGCCUUCGGGUUGUAAAGCUCUUUUGUCAGGGAAGAAACGGUAGAGGCUAAUAUCCUUUACUAAUGACGGUACCUGAAGAAUAAGCACCGGCUAACUACGUG